rnacentral:rRNA from 1 species
UGGGGAAUAUUGGACAAUGGGCGCAAGCCUGAUCCAGCCAUGCCGCGUGAGUGAUGAAGGCCCUAGGGUUGUAAAGCUCUUUCACCGGUGAAGAUAAUGACGGUAACCGGAGAAGAAGCCCCGGCUAACUUCGUGCCAGCAGCCGCGGUAAUACGAAGGGGGCUAGCGUUGUUCGGAUUUACUGGGCGUAAAGCGCACGUAGGCGGACUAUUAAGUCAGGGGUGAAAUCCCGGGGCUCAACCCCGGAACUGCCUUUGAUACUGGUAGUCUUGAGUUCGAGAGAGGUGAGUGGAAUUCCGAGUGUAGAGGUGAAAUUCGUAGAUAUUGGGAGGAACACCAGUAGCGAAGGCGGCUUUCUGGACUGCAACUGACACUGAGGCACGAAAGCGUGGGUAGCAAACAGG